rnacentral:rRNA from 1 species
UACAGAGGUCUCAAGCGUUGUUCGGAUUCAUUGGGCGUAAAGGGUGUGUAGGUGGCGCCGUAAGUCGGGUGUGAAAUUUCGGAGCUUAACUCCGAAACUGCAUUCGAUACUGCGGUGCUUGAGGACUGGAGAGGAGACUGGAAUUCAUGGUGUAGCAGUGAAAUGCGUAGAGAUCAUGAGGAAGACCAGUGGCGAAGGCGGGUCUCUGGACAGUUCCUGACACUGAGACACGAAGGCCAGGGGAGCAAACGGGG